CCUGUUUCAGUAAAGAAUAUAAAGUUAUUUAUUUAUUUAUUCUAUAAUUUAUUUUAGAGCUUGAUUAUUGCUGUAAUAACUAAAUAAAUAAGGAAUUUUUAAUGGAAGAAGAAGGCCGUUGCCCUCCUCUUCUCAUCACGGUGGCCGGACCUCCGAUUCGUGUCUAUCGGCCACGAUUAGCUGCCAGCGUCUUCCCUUUCCGACGACCUUUUUCCCGAGAGCCACCCACCGGUAAAGUAAUAUUCAAAAAGGAGGAGGAGGAGGUUAAAGAUGGAUCCGCUGGAUCUUCGUAAUCCGGCGAAUCUUCCUCCCAAUCGUCGGCAUAAUGGGGUGCUCGAUCUUGGGAGACGGCGGCGGUCCGCCAUAUGGAUUUUCUGACGGCCGCCGGCCUGGGUUUAAGGGGCAAAAGCACCGGUAUGUGCUCCUCGUUCCCCCACCGAUCUCCCAUCAAGCAAAUUCGCUCAUCGCCGACCCACCGGCGGUCGGGACGGCCGUCUAAUUAGGCCGGCCGUCGGUGGUUGAGGACUCCAGUGCUUUGUCGGUGGUGGAUUUGGGGUGUUUUCCCGCCGCCGACCAUGGGGUUUGGAUGGUAAUCGGGAAAAGAGGAGAAAAAUGGG
rnacentral:lncRNA from 1 species